rnacentral:sRNA from 1 species
UUAUCUAACGUCGAACCGGUCCCCUCG